ACUAACAUAAUAGUGUGAUAAAUUGAAGAAGAGGGUGUACAGUUUAAACAUUUGGUGGUGGUUCUGCUAGAGCCAUUAUGAUGGGCUAGCAAUGGAAGUUUUCCUCAUUAAGUGAGGUAUUUUUUUUUCCAAUCUAUCCUAUCUCAUGUACUCUAUAGUCUCUGGGUCUAGGGUGGACUUUUGAAAGAAUUGUUUUAUGCUCUCCAGAUACAUGCAUUACAGAUGUUUUAGACUGAUCACUUGUGAUAGCUGAGAUGCUUGGUGUGCUUAGGAUGAUCUCAAUAUUGUGUUUAAUAUCCUAUUUCUUUAGGCUUUUAUCUUUCAAAGUGGUGGGGCAGGGAUGGUCCCUAGCCUCUGUUUGCCAGAAGCUGGGAAUGGGCAACAGGGGAUGGAUCACUUGAUGAUUAUCUGUUCUGUUCGUUCCCUCUGGGGCAUCUGGCAUUGGCCUCUGUUGGAAGACAGGAUACUGGGCGAGAUGGACCUUUGGUCUGACCCAGUAUGGCUGUUCUUAUGUAUGUUCUCAUGAAUUCAGCUCUGUCAUCAUCUGGAAAGUGUUUAUGUGUAUGCAAGACUUUAAUGUCCCCUUAGGAGUCCGUUCUAAUACUUCUUGUUUUUGUUUGUUUCUCUGGCACGUAUUUUCCCCUCCCGUCCAGGCUUUCUACAUCUCAAGAGAGGAAGGUUGGUUUUGUGAUUUAAUACACUAGAUUGCAUCUGGGCUCAGUUUCUGACUCUGCCACUGAUUAUCCUGUGGAACCAGGGACAAAGUCAUUUAACUUCUCUGUUCUUCAGUUCUUCAUCUGCAAAGGGGGAUAAUCCAGGAAGAUUGUUGAGGGUAAACUCAGAUUCAAGCAAACUGGGGCAUGGGCUGUCUCUCGCCAUGGGUAUAUACAGUGGGUCUGAUCAUGGAGAGAGCCUAUAGGUGAUGCUACAAUAUGAUAAUGUUAGGAUGGUGUGCUGACUACACAAUACUUAGUAAAAAAAAAAAAAAAAUUGCAAGAUAUCUACAUAUUUACCAGCAUCUGGUCGUUCGACGGACUGUGCCCUUGAGUAUCAGUUUCAACUGUGCACUUGUUACAGAACCCUCAAGAUCUCGGGGAACCUGAGUGCAUGGCAUGAGCCUACUUUGUUUCUCUAACACACACAUCAAAGAACAGGGUUGGCGACCAGCUGCCCUUAGGGGGGCUGUAGAAGGCUGGUAAGAGAAGAUCCAGAAUGCGUUGAAGUAGUAGGGACCUCUGGAGGAAAGCUUACAGAAACUCAACAGGUUUCAGAGUCUCUAAGGUGCUACAAGGACUCCUCGUUGUUUUUGUAGAAACUCAAGAGGUUCUCUAGUUCUAUUUCAGAUUUUAUUUCAAACUUUAGAGCACAGAAAUGAGCUACCAUUAUGGACAAUGGUAUAAACAAUUAUACUGAGGAAAAUAUUAAAAAAAUUUAAAAGCAAUU